CUUCUUAUAUUUGGCCUGCAAUGAAAAACAUGGUAUCAAAUACUUGGUGGUGGAGCAACUUACGAAAAACAUCGUGAGCAAAGCAUCAUUGUAGUAUAACUAUAUAAAAGGCUUGUC
rfam:Arenibacter sp. C-21 DNA, contig: C21_contig0023.